rnacentral:rRNA from 1 species
AUGAAGGAAUAUAGACACUUACAUCAGUACGUGCAUGCAUGCAACGGUACAAGUACGCAUAGGUUACUGCUGCUUGCCGAUCAUGGCUGGAUUACCCGAUCUUCUCUUGACCCUGACGAGGAGGCCGUUCUUCAUGUGGAGUAUGAUGGAGAGCUUGGGCUCCACGACGUGCCCGGGCACCACCUCCACGGCGAAGUUCCACGCCACGGCCGCCACCGUCACCUUCAUCUGCACCAGCACCAUCUCCUUCCCGAGGCACGUCCUGGGGCCCGAGUUGAAGGCCACGAACUUGUUGGACGGCACGUACCGCAGCUUGCCGUCCUCGGAGAUCCACCGCUCCGGCCGGAACUCCCGGCAGUCGGCGCCCCACACCCGCUUCAUCCUCCCCAUGGAGUAGUUGAACACCAGGAUCUUGUCCCCGGGCCUCACCUCGUGCCCGCUCGGCAGCACGUCGUGGGCGGCGACCGCCUUUGUCUCCACCGGCAGCGACGGGUAGAGGCGGAGGCACUCGCACACCGCCGCGUGCAAGUAGAGCAGGUUCUUCAGCUCCCCCGCCUCGAAGGCCACCAUGCCGUUGGGUCCGACGGGUUUUCGGGCAGCUAUGGGGGCCAGCUCCUCCAGGAGCUUUUUCUCUACCCGCGGGUUCGUGGCGAUGAGGUAGGAGAACCACGAGAGGGCGGAGCUGGUGGCGUCGCGGCCGGCGACCAGGAGGUUCAUCGUCAUGUCCCGGAUGUACACGUCCGCAUCCGGGUCGCCGGCAAUCUCCUCGUCGCAGAUGAAGGAGGACAGCAGGUCGGCCGCCGACUUGUCCGCGCGAUGCUUGUUGUAGGCGGCUCUGCGGCUAGCAAUGGUGGCCGCCACGAAUUCGUCGGCCGUGCGGCGCGCGGCGGCGUUCUUCCUCUCAUGCCCGACGUCCAGCCUCCGCAUCAUCUUCCAGCACGUCACCGGCAUGAUGUGCCGGACGAAGACGGUGCGCAGCACGUCGUCCAUGGCGCGCGCGAACGGCACGUCCGGCAGGCCGAUGGCCAGGCACCCGGGGUCGACGCCGAAGACGAGGUUGCAGGUCGUGUCGAAGGACCAGCGCGUGAACACGUCCUGCAGGUCGCACGUCGUGUCGGAGUCGGCGACGUGUGCGAGGAACGGGAGCACGCUCUGCACCGCCUUGUCGAGGCUGGACUGCGCCACGAAGGCGCGGUACCGCGGGGUGGUCAUGAGCAUCUGGGCCUUCGUCCUCUGGCUCCGCCAGCGCUCGCCGUCGGAGUUGAAGAUGCCGCCGCCGAGGAUGUCGAACAUCUGGGCGAACACGUCGCCCUUGGGGUAGUUCUCGAAGUUGGAGGUGAAGAUGUGGCGGACGUUGGCCGGGUCGCAGGUGAUGAAGUAGCGGAAGCCGGCGAACCAGAAGCGGCACUGGUAGUUGAGGCCGGAGAGGGCCAGCAUGCCGGUGACGCCCUCGAAGAUCCGGUGGAUGUUGGAGACGAUGGCCGGGAGGAUGCCGACGAUCGGCCACUGGGUGAGCCCGGGGGAGCGCCGGCGUCGCGUUUUCUCGGGUUUCACGGCGCGAUAACGAAGCAGUAG